UACCCCAGGCAAUGGGCAAAGAUACACCUUGGUGGUGUGUUCUUAUAUCAGUCAGGGGCAAAGCAGAUGGCAGCUCUUUGAUCAUCCUAGCCUGAUUCCUGGUUUGGUGGCCAAAACUGUUUUGUGCCUAGGACUCAUAA
ensembl:snoRNA